UGGGGAAUAUUGGACAAUGGGCGAAAGCCUGAUCCAGCAAUGCCGCGUGGAUGAAGAAGGUCUUCGGAUUGUAAAGUCCUUUCGACGGGGACGAUGAUGACGGUACCCGUAGAAGAAGCCCCGGCUAACUUCGUGCCAGCAGCCGCGGUAAUACGAAGGGUGCUAGCGUUGUUCGGAAUUACUGGGCGUAAAGCGCGCGUAGGCGGUCUAACAAGUCAGGGGUGAAAUCCUUGGGCUCAACCCAAGAAUUGCCUUUGAAACUGUUAGACUUGAGUGUCGGAGGGGAUAGCGGAAUUGCUAAUGUAGAGGUGAAAUUCGUAGAUAUUAGCAGGAACACCGGUGGCGAAGGCGGCUAUCUGGACGACAACUGACGCUGAGGCGCGAAAGCGUGGGGAUCAAACAGG
rnacentral:rRNA from 1 species